GACACGUUCCUUAGAUCCACCUCUGGAGGGUGCUCCUGCACUGGGAAUGCUGUUUCUUGAGAGCAGCAGUCCUGGCUGCAGAGCCCUCAGCAGCUUUCUGGCUGUACAGUUGGAGGUGCUUGAGUCAUUGGCGUGUGAGAGCAGUCUACCUGUCCCUCAGCCCCACAUGCUGCAGUGGCAUCCCUCUCUUCCAUGGGUGUGGAGCUCCCGCUGCUGCUAGGCUGGGGGACGGACAUU